rnacentral:tRNA from 1 species
UAGGGAGACCUACCCAUUGAAGAAUCGAAAGCCGAAGGCGAAUAGAGAAUCAACUGGUCUACUCUAGGUCGGUGACGUGAGAUUGUGAAGUCUUUCAAACUAAUAUUUGGUUCGCGAGAGGGCUAUUAGCUCAGGUGGUUAGAGCGCACCCCUGAUAAGGGUGAGGUCCCUGGUUCGAGUCCAGGAUGGCCCACCUGAAUGGGGGUUUAGCUCAGCUGGUAGAGCGCCUGCUUUGCAAGCAGGAUGUCAGCGGUUCGAGUCCGCUAACCUCCACAUUAGGAAGAAACUAGCAACUAGGGAAGACCUAGACUGCUGGUGGAAACCAGCCAGAACCUUGAAAACUGCAUAUAGAUAGAUAAGAGAGCCGAAAUCGAAAGAUAGAAGCAAGUGAAGAACCAAGU